UACGUAGGUGGCAAGCGUUACUCGGAAUCACUAGGCGUAAAGCGCAGGUAGGAGGUUUGGUAAGUCUGUUGUGAAAGCUCCCGGCUUAACUGGGAGAGGUCAACGGAAACUACUAGGCUAGAGUGCGGUAGAGGUAGCUGGAAUUCCCGGUGUAGCGGUGAAAUGCGUAGAUAUCGAGAGGAACACCUGCGGCGAAGGCGGGUAGCUGGGCCGACACGUGACGCUGAUGCGCGAAAGCCAGGGGAGCGAACGGG
rnacentral:rRNA from 1 species